UUUUGUUUAAGAUAUUUGUUAAUUUCUGCAUUGCUUGACAUUUCAAAUAUUCGAUCGACACUGUCGCAUAAUGUAAAACUCGAAAGGAUGCCAGGAAUUAAUGAUAUUACUACUGCAAGUGGACUUUGUGUUUUGCUAUCAACCGAGUACAUAGAUAUAUGUAUUUGUUUAUUAGAAAUAUUCGUGAGACACUCUCAAUGUGAUCUAUUUCGAGCGCUAGCUACAUAAAGAUAAGACUAAUUUA